UCGGCCGUACCAUGCUGAAUAUACCGGUUCUCGUUAGAUCACCGAAGUUAAGCAUCAUUGGGCGCGGUCAGUACUUGGGUGGGUGACCACCUGGGAACACUGCGUGCCGUU
rnacentral:rRNA from 1 species